CUCCACACAGCGAAACUCUCUCUCCAGUUUACAGGACAGCUGGACGGAAACAUGAACUCUGUUCAGUUUAUUUAUCAGGAGAGUCUAAACAACUGCAGCAGCCGCAGAAAACACGGCACACUUCUGAACCUGUGAUCAUAAUAUCAUCACUAAGUGACCCGCUGGACGACAGGAAGCUGUAGUGGUUGUGGAAGAGGACUGAACGCCAGAACUGCUCCUGGAGGACGACACAGAGUCUCUCUGGUGUUACAUACAGGUGACCAUGUGUUGCCAAGGGAACGGUUCAGCAUCCGCACCACC